rnacentral:lncRNA from 10 species
CAGGCAUGAGCCACCGCACCCAGCCCAUUUACUUUUAUAUAAAUGAAAUGGCAUACACAUUCCAUAACCUCCUUUUUAUUAUGUAAUUUUCAUCAAAUGUUAUGCAUGCGAGGUAGGCUGGGCAAUUUACAUGUAUGUUUUCACAAAUAGCAAAUACCAUGGACCCGCUAUUGAGCUUUAAGAACAAAAUAUUACCGAAGACUUAGAUCCUCCCUUUCAGUUCCUCCCCAGUUCCAGCACCUUCUUCCCCUCUUCCCUGCUAUCCUGAGACAUCACAAUCCAG